rnacentral:lncRNA from 1 species
CUCUGGGCAAGGGGACCUUCACCAUCCAAACCAUGAAUGAACCAGAGUUCACUGCAAAUCUCUCUACUCCCAUGAACAGUUUUCCUUCCAGCACAGAGAUGCACUAUUUGAAAACAUGUUUUGAGGGUAUGAUAAUUUAGCUCAUGGAAAGCGGUUGUCCUUGGCAAAGAGAAAAAGCUCUUCAAGGACCUUUCCUGACCUGGAAGAAAUGGCUACAGCUCAGCGGAAAGGGUAACUUGCUUUCAACUUGCUCAACUGCAAAAAGCAUCAACCACCACUA